GACGAACGCUGGCGGCGUGCUUAACACAUGCAAGUCGAACGGAAAGGCCCUGCUUUUGUGGGGUGCUCGAGUGGCGAACGGGUGAGUAACACGUGAGUAACCUGCCCUUGACUUUGGGAUAACUUCAGGAAACUGGGGCUAAUACCGGAUAGGAGCUCCUGCUGCAUGGUGGGGGUUGGAAAGUUUCGGCGGUUGGGGAUGGACUCGCGGCUUAUCAGCUUGUUGGUGGGGUAGUGGCUUACCAAGGCUUUGACGGGUAGCCGGCCUGAGAGGGUGACCGGCAACAUGGGGAUUGAGAUACGGCCCAGACUCCUACGGGAGGAAGCAGUGGGGAAUAUUGCACAAUGGGCGGAAGCCUGAUGCAGCAACGCCGCGUGCGGGAUGACGGCCUUCGGGUUGUAAACCGCUUUCGCCUGUGACGAAGCGUGGGUGACGGUAAUGGGUAAAGAAGCACCGGCAAACUACGU
rnacentral:rRNA from 1 species